rnacentral:rRNA from 1 species
UACAGAGGUCCCGAGCGUUACUGAGAAUCACUGGGUUUAAAGGGUGCGUAGGUGGCGCGUUAAGUCAGUUGUGAAAUCCCCGGGCUCAACCCGGGAACUGCUUCUGAUACUGGCGUGCUUGAGGCCAGUAGGGGUCACUAGAACUGACGGUGGAGCGGUGAAAUGCGUAGAUAUCAUUUGGAACGCCAAUGGUGAAAACAGGUAGCUGGGGCUGUGCUGACACUGAGACACGAAAGCCAGGGGAGCAAACGGG